UUUAACCGAUUACACUUUCUCUCUCUUUCCAUGAACUCUUCCUUUUCUCUGUUUUCCUUUCUCUUUUCCAUUCUAACCCUAGCGACUUCUUCACUAUGAGCACGGUCAAAUCUACCGCAAAUUUAUUCAAUAUCUCAAGAAUUCAUUCAUUGAAAAUGGAUAUCUGAAUCCAGUUCAGGGUUUAGGAAAAGUGUUGAUUUUGUGAGAGUUUAUGAGUUGAAAAGAAUGAAAUCUGCAAGGAUCUCAGGUUUAAGAUUUGUAAUGUAGAAAUUAGAAAGGAGAAGCAUCUCAGUGUUGAUGCAAGAAAAACAAAAGUACUUGGAAAUUAGAAAGGAGCAGCAUCUCAGUUUUUCAUGUGUAGUUUUUUCCAGAUCUUAGUGGAUUGUGGUGCAUAAUGUUUGACAUUGAUGUUGCAGGGCAUUGCGUUUAUGGUUAUGAAGGCAAUGCAGUAGCACAUAACAGGAAAAUCGAGUCAGAUGGUACUAUGAAGUUUAUGGUUAAUAGGAAACUUUCUGCAUUACAAUUAGAACGACUAAGGGAUUCAAGGAAAAUCGAGUCAGUUGGUACUAUGAAGUUUUUCCAACUUUUAACAAGACUGGCAAAUCCCCUGACUUCCCUUUUGAAUGCAACUGCUUCCCCGAGCUUGAGCAUGAAAACAAAGUUGGCAACAUGGUCUUCUGAGAAAAUGAAUGCAUACAAUAUGUUGGCAUGUCAACUUUUUCCUUAAGACAAAUUGUGAAGCAGAUUAGGGUUAAUGAAAGAGUUGUUUGCUCUUAAGGCCGUAAUCAAAUGCAUUGAAGAACAUAAGCUUGAUGAGCAGUAUCCUAUGGAUCCUCUCUAAAAUCAAGUGAUCCAACUAGAGAAGGCCAAGACCGACAAGAAGCAAGAAACUGAAGUAACAAAACCUCAUCCAAAUAGGCCUCGUGCUAAUGGUGUCAAAUAUGGUCCUUAUGUCACUAGCGUUACUUCAGACAAAAUCUCCUAUGCUAGAGUUGCUGACAGAUCGAUUUUGCAUUUGAUGAUGCUGAUGGUGUAGAAGAAGGAACAUUUGUUACUAUCAUUUGACGGCGGAAACAGAAAAGUGAGGAAUCCAUAAUACAGGAGAAGUUCAUACUGAAUGCUGCUGAUAAACUAGCGUUCAUUAUCGAAGAAAGCCAGUAUAAAGGUGGUCUGGAAGGUUCUAUUCCAGUUUUAAUUCAGCCUGCAAGCAUUUGUGCUAAUUAUAAGCUUUUUGAUUAUUUCUGGUGUAUAUUUGCUUUUAAUAUGAAAGUGUUCCUUGUAGCUUAACUGGUUGGCAAUUUGCUUUUAAUAUGAAAGCGUUCUUUGUUGCAAAAAAUCCUUGAUAAAGUUGAUGGUGUUGUCGACCAUGGUGUCAUUUCAAAAAUCCCGUUAAUUUUCUCUCUCAAAUUUUAUAUGACAAUGACAAAUAUAAAGGUGUAUCUCAUUUAGUUUUGUUCUUAUGUAACACAGAUGCACAGUGGUAGUUGCCUCUCCUAAUGGGUUGAAAGUUUUGGACAAAAUUGACUACAAAUAUAGUAGGGAUAGACUUCACUAUGUAAGAUGAUAUUUGCACCUCAUAUAGCCGCCUCUUGUCACUGGAAAUACUGUUUUUUCUAUACUCUUUGUUGAUUACCCUGUCGACAAAGUUUCCUGUUAUGUAUCAGAUGAUAGUCCAUCUAUGUAAACUUUUGAAGCCUUAUCAGGGAAAUCAGAGAAAUUGGAAAAA